ensembl:lncRNA
GGAGACCUCCCAGAGAAACUGCAUGCUGCCCAAUCCUCCAGAGAGUGCAGAAAAAUCUGUUCAAGGCAACUUCAAAACAGCAGGAGAUGUUUUGACAACAAAACUGUGCAGCUAUGAUUAGCCUGAUAAAAGGGAGCCAGAGUUGGAGUAUUGAUGAGUCUGAUGAUGCCAGCAAAUGCACUUCAUGGAUGUGCAAAAGCUCUGAGUGUUGAGAAAACGGAGUUCUUUUAGAUGCCAGAUUAUUAAAAAGAGAGUGCAUGGCAGAGAAAGAAAGUUCACUUCUACAUCUCUACAACAGCACCACACAGCCCUGUUGGCUGUAAGAAAGAAAGAAAACCCUCUGAUUUCUGCCUGUUAUCAGUGCACCAAAUGACAAAACCUGGGACAUCAUCUCAGCUAAGCAGAACUGCUGAUAAUUGCAAGACACACUGCUGACAACUGAGAGACACAAGCUGGCUCUGGCCAUACAGGACAGACGUGCAGCCCAGGCAUGGCACUCUUGGGUCACAGCUGAGAGCCAGGUUUCACCUGCAGACUUCUUCAUAUACAUCAGGAUUGCUGGGCUUCUUUUUAACCCCUCAAGACAAUGGUUUCAAGUACAUUUUUAUUUCCAAAGACUACUUCCUGAUUCCUUCUUUUCUGACAUUUCUAAGCAUUGUUCCAAGUGCUGUGUUAACUUACCCAUAACUUGUUGCUAUGCUGCUAAGAAAAUAGAACCAUCCAUCAUAACAUCUCCUACCGAUUUUAUGCUGAGGGGAUUAUAAAUCAAUAGCUAUAAGGAGGCAGUGCGAAACAGACAGGUGCAUGCAUACGCACUGUAACGAAGUAAAGAUGAGUUACCAUGGAGCACUGGGAAGACCACGUGGA